rnacentral:rRNA from 1 species
GUGAGGAAUUUUCCGCAAUGGGCGAAAGCCUGACGGAGCAAUGCCGCGUGAAGGAUGAAGGCCUAUGGGUUGUAAACUUCUUUUCUCAGAAAAGAAUUAUGACGGUAUCUGAGGAAUAAGCAUCGGCUAACUCUGUGCCAGCAGCCGCGGUAAGACAGAGGAUGCAAGCGUUAUCCGGAAUGAUUGGGCGUAAAGAGUCUGUAGGUUGUUUAAAAAGUAUUCUGUCAAAGAUUAGGGCUUAACCCUAGAUAGGCAGAAUAAACUUUUAAGCUAGAGUUUGGUAGAGGCAGAGGGAAUUCCCGGUGGAGCGGUGAAAUGCGUAGAUAUCGGGAGGAACACCAAAGGCGAAGGCACUCUGCUGGGCCAAUACUAACACUGAGAGACGAAAGCGAGGGGAGCAAAUGGGAUUAGAUACCCGUGUAGUCC